rnacentral:lncRNA from 1 species
UAGAAGGGUACUCUAUCCUUAAUGAAGAUUGAUGACCACUGGGAUAUCUGAGUUUUUGGGUUUUAAAGAGCAGUUCUAGAAGUAUUGAUUUCAGUGGAGGACGAGGUUUCUCGGAAGAUAUAGUGAGGUCCUCAUUCGUGAAUUCUAUAUAGCAUAUGAAGGUGAGAUUUAGAGGCAAUACUCACAGGGUCAACUCUUGAAGGGUGGUGAGCCUGUAACUUCGUUAAUGAUUCAUGGUGUAUGGGUUGAUAUUUCUACUCUAGACUAUUGGCAGAUUCUUAUAUGGGCCAGAGUAUCAGGCGCUGAUAAACACAGGUGAGAUAGACUACAGAAUGGAGGAGAUAAGGAAGAUAACUAAGAGAAUAUUGGGUUUUGAGGACAAAAUGGUGAAUUAUAGAUGAAUAGUUGAGCGUAUAGCCUCAAAUGGGCAAAAUUCCAAGUGGAUUAAAGAAGGCCCCGGGGUGGUCAAACAAAAGAUAAAGAAGAGUACCUUCAAUUUUGAGGGCAAGGCUUGGUGGACUUAAGCCUGAAACAGGCUCUGUCUAAACAUUGGUGAUAAUAUUAUAAACCUAGAUCGGGCAGCUAUGAUAGCCGGUUUCAUAACCGACUAUGAGUUUGAUAUAGCAGAAUUUCUAUCCUAAUAAAUGAGGGAUCGACUAGUUAGGGGUGAGAAGGUAUUACUGGCCUACCCAUGUAUAAUCAUGUAGAUAUGUCUGGCUGUGAGAGUAAUGGAACUCCCUGGGAUAGAUGAGUUGAUUGAGGACAAAAUGACCACUGACUUAGGCCUAAUUAGAGAUAAAGCCAACCCAUUAGGAAAAUAGGCAAGGCAGG